CACGGGGGGAGCAAGCGUUGUUCGGAAUCACUGGGCGUAAAGGGCGUGUAGGCGGUUAGGUAAGUGGGAUGUGAAAGCCCCCGGCUCACCCGGGGAUCUGCAUUCCAAACUGCCUGACUUGAGUAUGGGAGAGGAUAGGGGAAUUCCUGGUGUAGCGGUGAAAUGCGUAGAUAUCUGGAGGAACACCGGUGGCGAAGGCGGCAUCCUGGACCGGCAUUGACGCUGAGGCGCGAAAGCCAGGGGAGCAAACGGG
rnacentral:rRNA from 1 species